rnacentral:rRNA from 1 species
GUUGGGGAUAACUCCGGGAAUCGGGGGCUAAUACCGAUUGUUAAUGUGUGGCGCAUGCCACGCUUUUGAUUGAUGGUUUCGGCUAUCGCUUUCUGAUGGGCCCGCGGUGCAUUUGCUAGUUGGUAGGGUAAUGGCCUACCAUGGCAACGAUGCUUAGCCGACCUGAGUGGGUGAUCGGCCUCACUGGGUCUGAGUCACGGCCCUGACUCCUUCGGGAGGCUGCUGUAGGGAAU